CCUACGGGAGGCAGCAGUGAGGAAUAUUGGUCAAUGGGCGAGAGCCUGAACCAGCCAAGUCGCGUGAGGGAGUACUGCCCUAUGGGUUGUAAACCUCUUUUGUCGGGGAGCAAAAGCCGGACGUGUCCGGCUGUGAGAGUACCCGAAGAAAAAGCAUCGGCUAACUCCGUGCCAGCAGCCGCGGUAAUACGGAGGAUGCGAGCGUUAUCCGGAUUUAUUGGGUUUAAAGGGUGCGCAGGCGGAUUUUUAAGUCAGCGGUAAAAUCGUGGGGCUCAACCCCAUCCAGCCGUUGAAACUGGGGAUCUAGAGUGGGCGAGAGGUAUGCGGAAUGCGUGGUGUAGCGGUGAAAUGCAUAGAUAUCACGCAGAACCCCGAUUGCGAAGGCAGCAUACCGGUGCACAACUGACGCUCAGGCACGAAAGCGUGGGUAUCGAACAGGAUUAGAUACCCUGGUAGUC
rnacentral:rRNA from 1 species